GGUUGUGACUCAGUGGUAGAGCGCUUGCCUAGCAUGCAUGAGGCACUGGAUUCAAUCCUGAGCACCA
rnacentral:tRNA from 1 species